GGGGCCGACCUGGCUUCGACGUGGGUCGCAAAGCAGAGUAGGGCAUACCGAGGGUCAGAGCACCUCGUAAAUCCAACUGAAAAAAACUUAGUCGCAAACGACGAAAACUACGCCCUAGCCGCUUAAGGUCUAGGACUCACACCGGAUCGUUCAUGGGCCGGGCCGGCGCAAGCCGACAGUGAGUUAAUUCACAUGAAAUCGCGUUCAUCCGGGUCGCUUGGGUGAAGGCUAAAUCAAGGCGACUCGGCAAAAUCCAGCCUGUUCGGCGGGCGUGAUCGAGCUUAAAGCACAAAAACACCGGACUAAGUAUGUAGAACUGCCUGUAGAGGGCUUGCGGACGGGGGUUCGAUUCCCCCCGGCUCCACCA
rfam:Thiobacillus denitrificans strain RG RG36, whole genome shotgun sequence.